ensembl:lncRNA CACNA1G-AS1 CACNA1G antisense RNA 1
CAAACCCAGCUCGCUAACCGGCGCGGGCAGAGUACAGCUCCCAGGCUCCCGAAGCUUCCCACAUCUGGAGGAUGACGACCCUCCCCUGACCACAUCUGGAGGGCGUCCAGCUGCGAGCCAGCGGGGCACAGCUCUCUUCUCCUGGCCUGGAUCCCCACCCCCCCAACCCAGGAAGACUGAGAAUCCCAUCAUCGCGUGCACAUCUCAUCCCAGGAGGGAGAGAGGAGCUGCCGAGUAGAAAGCAGACUGGCUGCAGGGACAGAAGACACCAAGGGCACCCUCCCCCACAGCUGCGCCUGGACCUCCUGCGAGAAGAGGAAGCCUUAGGGGUCUUUAUUGUACCCUCAAGACCCCAGAGAGAAACAGAAGUGCUGAGGGGUCGCAGGCAGGUCUCUUACCCUCUCUGGGCCUCGAAUAUUUAUCCAUAGGAGGCUGAAGGUAACUGCCUUCGCAACUCAUUCAUGAGGGUCAAUGGGACGACAGUGGCAAGAGGGGUUGGCACACUGCCCAGACUGUUCCAAAGCCAGGGCUGGGGCUGCCAAAAAGGCCACCUGUGCUUCACCAUGCUCCAUCCUCCCUCUCUUCCACCUCCCCAGGCUGGGCUCCACUUGUCCAGCUCUCUGACUUCCUGGCAAGGUUGAGUAGGCUCCAGCUAGGAAGGGGCCAGCUGACCUUGUUGGCCGGAGCACUAAUCCCCUCCAGAUGGGCUGGUGGCUUGCACUGAGGGCCUGGCUGCCCAGACAGAGCUGACUCUGGUCCCAGUGACCAUGUGUGGCUAUGUGUGACCGUGUGAAGGGAGCAAUUCCAUCCAGUCUCCCGGUUCCUUCCUGCUUCACUCCUCCCCACUGCUGACAUCCCCCACAAGCAGUGGCCCCAUGAAGGCCUUCUUGUCUCUAGUAGCCUCUUUUGGCUCUCUGUGUUGCUUAGCUGGAGGGCUGAGGAUGCCUGGCACAGCCGAUUCCCAAAGGCCUCAGAGGGACAGCUCCUCCCCCUGCUUCCCCCACCCCGUCAGCCCCAUCACUCUGCACCUGCCCUUCCCAAAGCAUGUGUCCCAGUCCCCAUCCCUCAACCCAAGGAAGAUGUAUGUGUCAAGGACAGGACUCAGGAGCAUUUCCCAACAUUUAGGGGAAAGGAUGAGGUCACAGGAAGGCUUUCUCUGCAGCAAGAAGGACUCAGAUAGAUUUGGGGAAGGACUUCCAACCCAACAGAUGUUCCAAACGAAAGAGAACUCUUUCUUUGGACCAGCUUGUAUGAAAGCAGACAAAUGGACAACAUGACCUCCUGCAAGGAGGCCCUGCUUCCAUCCUUUCGAGGCUGGGGCUAGAUGGAUACCCCAAAAGAAAUGUCUUAGUCGUGACAAUAGCAGCUCCCACAAUGCACCAGGGCAUAUGCAAAGUCACCAUUCUGUGAAAUAUAAAAGCUCAUAUAAAGCA